rnacentral:tRNA from 1 species
AGCGGCGUAGCACAAGGGCAAUGCGGCAGACUUUGACUCUGAUGAAUGCGCGUUCGAAUCGCGCCGCCGCUUCCA